CUAAUUGUUGAUGGCCUUACGAGCCAGUACAGCCAAAAUAAGCAGGAUGCAAGAAUAACAAAAGGUUGAACAAGCGAUAUGGCUCUGAAUGUGGUUUAGUUUCCUUUCCAGCAAUGAAAGAAAACCCAAUUCCAUACUUGUUAUAUCGAAAUCUAGCUAAGGAUUCUCCCCAUACAAAGCAAGUCUAGUGUACUUAACAAAGACAUUCAGCAUAUACUAAUGCAGGCAGAUAGACCAUAAUUUAUAACAAGCAACAAUGUCAUCACACAUUGCACCAUCCAGAAGCUAAUUAAGCAAAAUGGCACAUUCACAUAAGAAUGUCUAGAUAGUAUGCUUGCAAAAAGAGGCAAAACUAAGAUGAUACAACCACCAGCGUUUGUUUGUGAGGCAAAACUAAGAUGAUACAGCCACCCGCGUUUGUUUGCGAGUCCCAUUUCCGCCUUAGCUAACUAAGGGGAGCCGCCUGAGCCUCUGGAGGAGGUGCCGCCAGUGCCCGGAGGAGGCUGGUCCGGUUCGUUGCUCUCCUGCAGUGCCCGCUUGGCCAGCACAACCUCGACAGCCAGCUUCGCUGUGGAGUCAAGCUUGGCAUUGAAGUCCUUCUCAAGCUUAGCGAUCUUCUUCUGGAACAGGGCAUCUGCAGCCUUGAGGUUGUCAUCUCUUGAGUGGGCGCUCACUACGUUCAUCACCCCAAAAGCUACCGCAGAAGCGCCCAGGAGGACGGUACAGGCAACUUUCCAUGUGUUCUUCUUGAUCUGUAGAAGACACUGGACGUGCUGCUUGUCCACCUUGAUGUCGCGUGCGGCUGAUGCGACCGCAAGAGCCCGGAUCUGGUCAGAUGAAGUGCCGCAGAUUGUUCAGCCCGGCCUGGACCUCCUUGUACUGGUCGAACGAGGCCUUGUCCAGCUUCAGCUCGAGCGUCACCAUCUUCUGAUCGAUCUCGACGAAGAUGCGCGCGGUCUGCCUCUCGUAGUCGACCUCGAGGCGGGCGACGCGCUCCUCCAGCUGGCGGACGGGAUGCGACCCCUCGAGGCCCUUGGCAGCGCCCGCCUCGAGGGAGCCGACGCGCUUCUCGAGCUCCGCGAGGCGCUGCUCCAUCUGCGGGGAAGCGCCGGUGUGGUGGCCGCGGCGGCGGAGGAACGCGCCGGCGAAACGGUAGCGGGCGGCAGCGGCAGCGGCGGGCGAGAUGGUGGGAGCCGCGGUCGCGGCGGCGAGGUGGCGGGGGAUGGUGGCGGUGGCGGCGGCGACGGCGAGGUGGCGGGGGAUGGUGGCGGCGGCGCGGCGCGCGAGGGCGGCGGCCAUGGUGGUGACCCUAGUCUAACCUAACUAAACGAUCUGCCACGAUCUGGGCUCGAGGCGUGGACCGAAACAUAUACACCGGUCACCGGAGCGCGGGGGUCGGGGCUGUCCACUGGGCCAGGUGGGCUUCGCUUAGAAGUGGGCCCUUUUCUAGUUCCAACAAUGUUCUAAAUUAGGGAGCAACUAAUUAACGAGCGCUCCUUCGGGAGCCUCGCAACGAUCAGCGCCACUUGACGUGCUGUCAGUCAUUCGCCACAUGUCGCGCUCUGGACGCUCCCUCCGGAUUUUUUUUUAUUUUUCCGCACGCGUUUUCGGCUUUUUUCCGUUUUUUUGACGUUUUGGUUUUCCACCGGUCUUUCCUAUGUUUUCGAUCACAAAUUUUUUUUAAAAAAAAUUUGCGCAAAAAAACACAUUUUUUCGCGAGAGGCACGGGCGUGCCUCUUGGAAAUGAAAAAAAACAUGUUUAUGUUUUUUUUCCUUUCGCGAGAGGCACGGAUUUGCUUCCGCAAGAGGCACGGUUGUGCUUUCGCGAGAGUCACGGCCGUGCCUCCUCGGAAACGGAAAAAAACACAUUUCUUUUUUUUUCUUUCGCGAGAGGCACGGUUGUGCUUUCGCGAGAGUCACGGCCGUGCCUCCUCCGAAACGGAAAAAACACAUUUCUUUUUUUUUCUUCCGCGAGAGGCACGAUUGUGCUUUCGCGAGAGGCACGGGCCUGCCUGUUUCGGAAAGGGAAAAACGCGUUUUCUGUUUUUUUUCUUUCGCGAGAGGCAUGGUUUUGCUUCCGCGAGAGGCACGGUUGUGAUUUCGUCAGAGGCACAGUCGUGCCUCUUUUGGAAAGGGAAAAAAACCCGUAUUCCCGGUUCGGUUUUUCGUCGGUUUUUUUCGUCCGAUUUUUUCAUGAAAAAAAAUGUUCGUCAAAACCUAUCAACAUAGGAUCUAGUUUUGAAGGUCUCGACGCGAGGAAUCCAACGGCGAAAGCGAUUCGAGAUUUGGAUGCACGGUUUAAGAGAUAAAACGUUUUGAAUAAACGGAUCUACAAAAAAGGGAAAACUCCCGGGUUACGCCAAGUGACGCACAUGCAGCGCGCCAUUUGUCGCAACCUGCGGAAGUUGGAGUGAUCUCCGCAAGGAGUACUCCUCAGUUAGUGAUUUCGUCUAAAUUACUGUAUAUGUUUUAUUAUAAGUCAAUCUUUUUAGACUUUGACCAAGUUUUUGUGAGAAUAAUCAACAUCUUCAUAUCGACUAAAUACACCAUGCAAACAUACUUUAGGAUAGAUCUAGUAAAGUUGAUAGAAUAAUAGAUAUGAACAACACAACAUUGUGUUGUGCAGAUACGCACACACCAAUGAUGAUGAUCAUAGGACACACACACAGAUAAACACAUCUAAUCUCAAAGUCAGAAUUACUUAACCAAGAUCUUCCAACCACUCUCACUUUAGUUAAACAUGUAUGUUUCUCUUCCCUCUUGUUGGUAGAAAAGAAAUAAACUUAAAUUAAAACAUGCUAAAACACACGAAAAGAACUCGGGAUAUUACAUUAGAAGCACUCGGAAAGAGGCCCAUAUGAGAGGCACUAUAGCCCAAAAUACAUUUCCAACAAAGACUAGACCAACAAAAAUACAAAGCCCACUCCGUCGUUGGACCAAAAAUAAAUGGGAAACAGAUAAUAUACUACACCAACUCCUGGGCCAACAAAGAACAAACCUGUUGACCUACUUAGAUAGACAAAAAUCAGUGAGUAAAAUUAACUCUUACACAGAUUUUUUAUGUUCUAGUUCCAAAAAUUACAUAUAUGACUAGGAUUUAACAAUUUCUUGGGCGACUAAGAAUUUGCAAAGCCAUUUUAGAUAUGGUCAAUUGCACACAAGAAAACACAUACGAUUUUAGUGUAUCAAAAAGUGCAAAGUGCAAUAUAAAUAAAUAACUACAAUCACGAAGAAAAUUAACAAGGUCUAUAAUAAUCAAACUCAAAGUCUUAAGUUUAAGUUUAAGCUAAACGUACGUAUAUACCUAUUUUUUAGUUACAUACUAUGUAAAUACAAAGAGAAAUUAAAUUAGAAAAAGAUUUUUUGUGUAGACAAAUACACAUUUAAUUCAAAGCUAGAUAGCAAAAGCUAUCGCACGAUGUUAGUACUAAAUCUGCACCAAGUAAAACUAUGAACCAUGAAAGUAAUAUGGUAGUUUGGUUACGUUCAUAAGUUGAUCUCCUUGUGCUACAAUACCUGUUACAUUCUUUUGGACUCUACAAAACAUAUUACAUUACAUACGGUAAUGUAUGAAAAUGGAGGUACGGAAAACAAGGAAUAAAAGCCUGCAGCAGAAAGAAGAUGGGCUUCCUGAAACAUUUGUUGUAAAUAUGAGCAAUUUACCGAAUGAUUUUAUUAACAAAAAUACUAGAUAUAGCAUGGUUAGUAUAGCAGUGAUAAAAUAAGCCAUGCGAUUUGACAAAGAGAAGGUAAACAACAUGUUCAUAUAUGAACCGUAACUAAACAUAAAAUAAGCCAUGCGAUUUGACAAAGAGAAGGUAAACAACAUGUUCAUAUAUGAACCGUAACUAAACAUAUCUAGAGCAGACAGUAUAGCAGGUUGCAUAUAUGAAAUAGAGUCUAACAUAUCUAUGGAAAAUACUAGAACAAGGAACUGUAGCAGAACCUCUAAUAGAAAGGGGAGAGACACGUACGUGACAACAGCAGGAGCAGAUGCACUGGACUUGGGGUCGGUGUCCUCCAUGUCGUCGAGGAGGUUGUCGACGUCGGGGAAGUAGUCGUCGGAGUUCGGGGCGUCCGUGACGAAGAAGUCAGUAGUCGCGCAGAGCGCUCCCCAAAAACCUUAUCACCCUUCUCCCGUACAUGACUCAAAAGGUGCGGUUUCGGAGGCCUACUGUCCCGACCUGCGGUGCACGCCGCAAGCCGGGAUGGGGAAGAUUGUAGCAGCGGCGCAGUGCUUAGGAACUGUGUGGCAAGAGGAAGAGGACCUUCUGAUGUGUCUCUCUGGAGAGGAGCGACCUCUCUUAUAUAGGCACAGGAGAGGGACGCGAACAGGCUGCGACGGGAGAUGAAGCAACGGAGGGAGACGAAGUGAACAGGCAGCACGCGAAGAGGUGCGCCGUUCGUAUUCAUUAUCCACUACCGCAAAACUUUUCAGCUCCCAAGUGACCUUUCGUAUACCCGUAGUACGUGGCAAAAAUUAGACAUCGGCUCGGCUCAUUCCCGCAACCCGCAACCCGCAACCCGCAGCGCAGCGCGUCGUGACGCGGCGUGGCGAGGCGGGCGGCGGAGGAGGAGCGCGCGUGGAUGUCCCUCUUGUUCUCAUGCUCAUACAAGUGGGGAAAAAACCUCCCUUACAAGGAGGUCCAACUCCCACUAAACUAGCAAUGUGGGAGUAAACUUUUGUAGUAUCCCUUGCCUUGCACAAAUGGGCUAAUUGGGCCUCCAACGUAUCUAUAAUUUUUGAUUGUUCCAUGCUAUUAUAUUACCCCUUUUGGAUAUUUAUGGGCUUUAUUUUACACAUUUAUAUCAUUUUUUUGGGACUAACCUAUUAACCAGAGGCCCAGCCCAGAAUUGCUGUUUUUGCCUAUUUCAGUGUUUCGAAGAAACAUAAUAUCAAACAGAGUCCAAACGGAAUGAAACCUUCGGGAACGUGAUUUUCUCACCGAACGUGAUCCGGGAGACUUGGACCCUGCUCCAAGGAACAAAAGAGGCGGUCACGAGGGUGGGGGGCACACCCCUGGGCGCGCCCCCUACCUCGUGGGCCCCCUAUUGCUCCACCGACGUACUCCUUCCUCCUAAUAUACCUACGUACCCCCGACAGAUCAAAAGGGGAGCCAAAAACCUAAUUCCACCGCCGCAACUUUCUGUAUCCACGAGAUCCCAUCUUGGGGCCUGUUCCGGAGCUCCGCCGGCGGGGGCAUCCACCACGGAGGGCUUCUACAUCAACACCAUAGCCCCUCCGAUGAAGUGUGAGUAGUUUACUUCAGACCUUCGGGUCCAUAGCUAGUAGCUAGAUGGCUUCUUCUCUAUUUUUGGAUCUCAAUACAAUGUUCUCCCCCUCUCUUGUGGAGAUCUAUUCGAUGUAAUCUUCUUUUUGCGGUGUGUUUGUUGAGACCGAUGAAUUGUGGGUUUAUGAUCCAGUUUAUCUAUGAAUAAUAUUUGAAUCUUCUCUGAAUUCUUUUAUGUAUGAUUGAGUUAUCUUUGCAAGUCUCUUUGAACUAUCUGUUUGGUUUGGUCGACUAGAUUGGUAGUUCUUGCAAUGGGAGAAGUGUUUAGCUUUGGGUUCAAUCUUGCGGUGUCCUUUCCCAGUGACAUAAGGGGCAGUAAGGCACGUAUUGUAUUGUUGCCAUCGAGGAUAACAAGAUGGGGUUUUUAUCAUAUUGCAUGAAUUUGUCCCUCUACAUCAUGUCAUCUUGCUUAAGACGUUACCCUAUUUUUAACUUAAUACUCUAGAUGCAUGCUGGAUAGCGGUCGAUGAAUGGAGUAAUAGUACUAGAUGCCGAAUCGUUUCGGUCUACUUGUCUUGGACGUGAUGCCUAUAUACAUGAUCAUACCUAGAUAUACUCAUAACUAUGCUUAAUUCUGUCAAUUGCUCAACAGUAAUUUGUUCACCCACCGUAGAAUACUUAUGCUCUUGAGAGAAGCCACUAGUGAAACCUAUGGCCCCCGGGUCUAUUCUCAUCAUAUCAAUCUCCAUUACUUUAAUACUUGCUUUGUUUUUACUUUGCCUUUUACUUUUUACUUUGCAUCUCUAUAUCAAAAAUACCAAAACAUAUUAUUAUCUCUCUAUCAGAUCUCACUUUUGCAAGAGGCCGUGAAGGGAUUGACAACCCCUUUAUCGCGUUGGUUGCGAGUUCUUAGUUUGUUUGUGUAGGUGCGUGGGAAUUUUGAGGAGCCUCCUACCGGAUUGAUACCUUGGUUCUCAAAACUGAUGGAAAUACUUACGCUACACUUUGCUACAUCACCCUCUCCUCUUCGAGGAAAACCAACGCAAGCUCAAGACUUAGCAAGAAGAAUUUCUGGCGCCAUUGCCGGGGAGGUCUUCGCUCAAGUCAAGACAUACCAAGUACCCAUCACAAACCCAUCUCUCUCACAUUUACAUUAUUUUCCUCUCGUUUUCCUCUCCCCCACUUCACCCUUGCCGUUUUAUUCGCCCUCUCUUUCCCAAUCUCCUCCUCUUUUUCCCGUUGCCUUUUUCCUCGUCCGUUUGUUUGCUCGUGUGUUAGUUUUCUUGCUUGUCGUCACGACUAGUCUCAUAUCUUCUCCGUUAUCUCCUGAGAAUGAAGUUCUAAAUUUUAAGCAAAGGGAGGGAGAAAAUCUAAAAGACGCUUGGUAUAGAAUUUGCAAUGCUCAAAAUAGAUUUACCAGGAAGCAAUCUACUUCAGUUCUUCUUCGUAGUUUUUACGUAGGUGCUAAUCCUUGGUAUAGAUUUAUCCUUGAUACCAUUACCGGAGGGAAUUUCUUGGGUAGUCAUACUUUUGAUUCUUAUAAUGCUUUAAUAGAUUUAUUUGUCUCACCACCUCUUUUGAUUAAUGGAACUAUGUUAACUUUGGAGCAUGUUAUGCAAAGACUUGAAAUUAUUGAGAAUAAAGUUGCUACCAUUGAAUUAAUUGAAAAUCUUGAUAAAAAGAUCCACAAUCAAAUUACCCAAUAUGGAUCUAAGGUAGGAAUGACUUUGAAAAAUAUUAAAGAAAAAGAACCCAUAGUUAAUGAGAAAAUAAAUCUAGAUUCCACAAGAAUCGAUAAACUUGAGGGUAUCAUUACCAAUUUGGGAACCGCUUUUUCUUCCGUACAAAACACUCCAAGUUCGUCUAUUAAAAAUACUAAGCUUAUUUAUGUUCCUAAGAAUAAGGGUGAAUCAUCUAGUAAGGAGACUGCAGAUCUUAAAUCUAUAAGUGUUCAUCCCAAUCUUUUUGCCUUCAUUAAGGAACCAUUUGCUAUGAAGGAAUUUUUCGAUCUUGUGCUGAAGAAUUUGAUAAUUACUAGAAAGGAAGAAAUUUCUAAGAAAUAUAGAUGCCUCAUUGAAGAAUUGCCUACCAAAGAUGGAAAUACCUAAAUCUAUCCUUGCUUUUAUGCCUAGCUAGGGGCGUUAAACAAUAGCGCUAGUUGGGAGGCAACCCAAUUUUUCUUUUUAUUUUUUUAUUUUUGCUUCUGUUUAGGAAUAAAUAAUCCAUCUAGCCUCUGUUUAGAUGUGGUUUUAUGUUUUAAUUAGUGUUUGUGCCAAGUAGAACCUAUAGGAUAACCUACGAUGAUAGUUGAUUUGAUUCUUCUGAAAACCAUAAACUUUGCGCGCACGAAUAUAAUUUUGUUAAAUCACAGGAACGUGAUUUUGCAUUGAUGCUUUUUGCUUCUGUUCAAUAGACAAAUUGUCCAGGACUUCCUAUUUUGGUAGGAUUUUUAGAGUUACAGAAGGUUGCGUUAGUUAAAGAUUGCUACAGACUGUUCUGUUUUUGACAGAUUCUGUUUUCCGUGUGUUGUUUGCUUAUUUCAAUGCAUCUAUGGCUAGUAAAUUAGUUUAUGAACCAUAAAGAAGUUGGAAUACAGUAGGUUUAACACCAAAAUAAAUAAAGAAUGAGUUCAUGGCAGUACCUUAUGUGGUGGUUUUGUUUUCUUUCACUAACGGAGCUUACAAGAUUUCCUGUUGAGUUUUGUGUUGUGAAGUUUUCAAGUUUUGGGUAUAAUAAAAACUAUCAUAGGAAGUGAAUUGGAUGCUAUGAUCAACUUGAUACUUGAUAAUUGUUUUGAGAUAUGGAGGUAGUGAUAUUAAAGUCAUGCUAGUUGGGUGAUUAUGAAUGCAAAGAAUGCUUGUGUCGAAGUUAGCAAAUCCCUUAGCAUGCACGUAUGGUUAAAGUUGUGUAACAAAUUUGAAAUAUGAAGUGUACUUGGCGUGUGCAUCCUUAUGAGUGGCGAUCGGGGACGAGCGAUGGUCUUUUCCUACCAAUCUAUCCCCCUAGGAGCAUGUGUGUAGUAAUUGAUUUUUGAUGACUUCUAAAUUUUUGCAAUAAGUAUAUGAGUUCUUUUGACUAAUGUUGAGUCCAUGGAUUAUACGCACUUUUACCUUUCCACCUUUGCUAGCCUCUAUGGUACCGUGCAUUGCCCUUUCUCACCUUGAGAGUUGGUGCAAACUUCGCCGGUGCAUCCAAACCCCGUGAUACGAUACGCCCUAGCACACAUAAACCUCCUUAUAUCUUCCUCAAAACAGCCACCAUACCUACCUAUUAUGGCAUUUCCAUAGCCAUUCCGAGAUAUAUUGCCAUGCAACUUUCCACCGUUCCGUUCUUCAUGUUCAUGACAUACUUUACUUUUGUCAUAUUGCCAUUGCAUGAUCAUGUAGUUGACAUCGUAUUUGUGGCAAAGCCACCUUGCACUAUUUUUCAUACAUGUCACUCUUGAUUCAUUGCACCAUCCCGGUACACCGCCGGAGUCAUUCAUAUAGAGUCAUAUCUUGUUCUAGUUUCGAGUUGUAAUUCUUAUGUUGUAAUCAAUAGAAGUGUGAUGAUCAUCAUUAUUAGAACAUUGCCCAAAGAAAAAAAAAAGAAAGGCCAAAAAAAAGAAGGGAAAGGCCCAAAAAAAAGGGCAAUGUUACUAUCUCUUUUUCCACACUUGUGCUUCAAAGCAACACCUUGUUCUUCAUGUAGUGAGUCUCAUAUCUUGUGCUUCAAAGUAGAACCUUGUUUUUCAUGUAGUGAGUCUCAUAAGUUGUGUUUUUCAUACUAGUGGGAAUUUUUCAUUAUAGAACUUGGCUUGUAUAUUCCUACGAUGGGCUUCCUCAAAUGACCUAGGUCUUCAUGAGAAAGCAAGUUGUGUGCACACCCACUAGUUUUUCUUGUUGAUCAUUUGUAGCUCUAGUGCAUCCGUUGCAUGGCAAUCCCUACUCCUCAUGUUGACAUCAAUUGAUGGGCAUCUCCAUAGCCCGUUGAUUAUCCUCGUCAAUAUGAGACUUUCUCUUUUUUUGUCUUCUCCACACAAUCCCCAUCAUCAUACUCUAUUCCACCCAUAGUGCUAUAUCCAUGGCUCGCGCUCAUGUAUUGUGUGAAGGUUGAAAAAGUUUGAGAUUAUUUAAGUAUGAAACAAUUGCUUGGCUUGUCAUCGGGGGUAUAGAAGCUGGGAACAUCUUUGUGUGACGAAAAUAAAGCAUAGCCUAACUAUAUGAUUUUGUAGGGAUGAACUUUCUUUUGCCAUGUUAUUUUGAGAAGACAUGAUUACUUUGAUCAGUGUGCUUGAAGUGUUACUAUUUUUUAUGUCAAUAUGGACUUUUAUUUUGUAUUAAUUUGGAUCUGAACAUUCAUGCCACAACGAAGAAAAUUACAUUAUGAAUUAUGCUAGGUAGCAUUCCACAUCAAAAUUUCUCUUUUUAUCAUUUACCUACUCGAGGACGAGCAGGAAUUAAGCUUGGGGAUGCUUGAUACGUCUCCAACGUAUCUAUAUUUUUGAUUGUUCCAUGCUAUUAUAUUACCCCUUUUGGAUGUUUAUGGGCUUUAUUUUACACAUUUAUAUCAUUUUUUGGGACUAACCUAUUAACCAGAGGCCCAACCCAGAAUUGUUGUUUUUGCCUAUUCCAGUGUUUCAAAGAAACAUAAUAUCAAACGGAGUCCAAACGGAAUGAAACCUUCGGGAACGUGAUUUUCUCACCGAAUGUGAUCCAGGAGACUUGGACCCUGCUCCAAGGAACAAAAGAGGCGGUCACGUGGGUGGGGGGCGCCCCCCUGGCGCGCCCCCUACCUCGUGGGCCCCCUGUUGCUCCACCGACGUACUCCUUCCUCCUAUAUAUACCUACGUACCCCCGACAGAUCAAAAGGGGAGCCAAAAACCUAAUACCACCGCCGCAACUUUCUGUAUCCACGAGAUCCCAUCUUGGGGCCUAUUCUGGAGCUCCGCCGGAGGGGGCAUCCAGCACGGAGGGCUUCUACAUCAACACCAUAGCCCCUCCGAUGAAGUGUGAGUAGUUUACUUCAGACCUUCGGGUCCAUAGCUAGUAGCUAGAUGGCUUAUUCUCUAGUUUUGGAUCUCAAUACAAUGUUCUCCCCCUCUCUUGUGGAGAUCUAUUCGAUGUAAUCUUCUUUUUGCGGUGUGUUUGUUGAGACCGAUGAAUUGUGGGUUUAUGAUCCAACUUAUCUAUGAAUAAUAUUUGAAUCUUCUCUGAAUUCUUUUAUGUAUGAUUGAGUUAUCUUUGCAAGUCUCUUCGAAUUAUCCGUUUGGUUUGGCCGACUAGAUUGGUAGUUCUUGCAAUGGGAGAAGUGUUUAGCUUUGGGUUCAAUCUUGCGGUGUCCUUUCCCAGUGACAGAAGGGGCAGCAAGGCACGUAUUGUAUUGUUGCCAUCGAGGAUAACAAGAUGGGGUUUUUAUGAUAUUGCAUGAAUUUAUCCCUCUACAUCAUGUCAUCUUGCUUAAGGCGUUACUCUGUUUUUAACUUAAUACUCUAGAUGCAUGCUGGAUAGCGCUCGAUGAGUGGAGUAAUAGUAGUAGAUGCAGAAUCGUUUCGGUCUACUUGUCUUGGACGUGAUGCCUAUAUACAUGAUCAUACCUAGAUAUACUCAUAACUAUGCUCAAUUCUGUCAAUUGCUCAACAGUAAUUUGUUCACCCACCGUAGAAUACUUAUGCUCUUGAGAGAAGCCACUAGUGAAACCGAUGCCCCCUAGGUCUAUUCUCAUCAUAUGAAUCUCCAUUACUUUUAUACUUGCUUUGUUUUUACUUUGCCUUUUACUUUUUACUUUGCAUCUCUAUAUCAAAAAUACCAAAAAUACAUUAUUAUCUCUAUCAGAUCUCACUUUCGCAAGAGGUCGUGAAGGGAUUGACAACCCCUUUAUCGCGUUGGUUGCGAGUUCUCAGUUUGUUUGUGUAGGUGCGUGGGACUUUUGAGGAGCCUCCUACUGGAUUGAUACCUUGGUUCUCAAAACUGAGGGAAAUACUUACGCUACUCUUUGCUGCAUCACCCUCUCCUCUUCGAGGAAAACCAACGCAAGCUCAAGACGUAGCAAGAAGAAUUUCUGGCGCCGUUGCCGGGGAGGUCUUCGCUCAAGUCAAGACAUACCAAGUACCCAUCACAAACCCAUCUCUCUCGCAUUUACAUUAUUUGCCUCUCGUUUUCCUCUCCCCCACUUCAUCCUUGCCGUUUUAUUCGCCCUCUCUUUCCAAAUCUUCUCCUCUUUUUCCCGUUGCCUUUUUCCUCGUCCGUCUGUUUGCUCACGUGUUAGUUUGCUUGCUUGUCGUCAUGACUAGUCUCAUAUCUUCUCCUUUAUCUACCGAGAAUGAAGUUCUAAAUUUUAAGCAAAGGGAGGGAGAAAAUCUAAAAUACGCUUGGUAUAGAAUUUGCAAUGCUCAAAAUAGAUCUACCAGGAAGCAAUCUACUUCAGUUCUUGUUCGUAAUUUUUACGUAGGUGCUAAUCCUUGGUAUAGAUUUAUCCUUGAUACCAUUACCGGAGGUAAUUUCUUGGGUAGUCAUACUUUUGAUUCUUAUAAUGCUUUAAUAGAUUUAUUUGGCUCACCACCUUGAGGGAGUCCUAGAUUAGGGGGUGUCCGGAUAGCCGAACUAUCACCAUUGGCCGGAAUCCUGGACUAUGAAGAUACAAGAUUGAGGACUUCGUCCCGUGUCCGGAUGGGACUUUGCUUGGCGUGGAAGGCAAGCUUGGCGAUACGGAUAUGUAGAUCUCCUACCAUUGUAACCGACUCUGUGUAACCCUAACCCACUCCGGUGUCUAUAUAAACCGGAGGGUUUUAGUCCGUAGGACGAACAACAAUCAUACCAUAGGCUAGCUUCUAGGGUUUAGCCUCUUUGAUCUCGUGGUAGAUCUACUCUUGUACUACCCAUAUCAUCAAUAUUAAUCAAGCUGGAGUAGGGUUUUACCUCCAUCGAGAGGGCCCGAACCUGGGUAAAAACAUCGUGCCCCUUGUCUCCUGUUACCAUCCGCCUAGACGCACAGUUCGGGACCCCCUACCCGAGAUCUGCCGGUUUUGACACCGACAUUGGUGCUUUCAUUGAGAGUUCCUCUGUGUCGUCACUUUUAGGCCCGAUGGCUCCUUCGAUCAUCAACAACGACGCGGUCCAGGGUGAGACUUUUCUCCCCGGAUAGAUCUUCGUAUUCGGCGGCUUUGCACUGCGGGCCAAUUCACUUGGUCAUCUGGAGCAGAUCGAAAGCUACGCCCCUGGCCAUCAGGUCAGAUUUGGGAGUUUGAACUACAGGGCUGACAUCCGCGGAGACUUGAUCUUCGACGGAUUCGAGCCACAGCCAAGCGCGCUGCACUGUCUCGAUGGGUAUGAUCUAGCUCUGCCGCCGAACAAUGCCCUGGAGGCUGCACCAGUGUCUGCUCCGACCCUUAGCUCAGAGCCGACUUCGCCGAUCGAGGACGAGUGGCUGGACACCGCCUCGGGGGCUACGAUCUCUACGGCGAUUGAGCCGAACACCAUCCCUGUCCUUUGCAAAGCCCGUGACUCUGAGGUGCCGGACUCCUCUCCGGACUCCGAACCUCCCGCGCCCCUGCCAAUCAAAUCCGAUUGGGCGCCGCUUAUGGAGUUCACUGCCGCGGACAUCUUUCAGCACUCGCCCUUUGGCGACAUCCUGAAUUCACUAAAGUCUCUCUUUAUCAGGAGAACCCUAGCCGGACUAUGGUCAGGAAGGUUGGGAUGCGGACGAUGAAGAAAUUCUACACCCACCCACCACCCACUUUGUAGCCACUGUCGAUGAUUUAACCGACAUGCUCGACUUCGACUCCGAAGACAUCGACGGUAUGGACGACGAUGCAGGAGACAACCAAGAACCAGCGCCUACAUGGCACUGGAAGGCCACCUCGUCAUACGACAUAUACAUGGUGGACAUCCCAAAAGAUGGGAAUGGCAAUGGAACAGUGGAGGAUGACCCCUCCAAGAAACAGCCCAAGCUCCAGCGUCAGCGGCGCCGCUCUAAAUCCCGCCACAACAAAAACGGUGAUUCUGGCACGGGAGAUAAUAACACCCCAGACAGUGCCGAAGACAACUCCCUCCAGCAGGAUUCAGCACAGGAGGAGGGAGAAGCCAGCCCUCAUUAUAGAGCGGCAGACAGAGAGGUAGAGGACAAUAAUUAUAUGCCUCGCUCCGAAGAUGAAGCAAGCCUCGACGAUGAUGAAUUUGUCGUGCCCGAGGAUCCCGUCGAACAAGAGCGUUUCAAGCGCAGGCUUAUGGCCACGACAAGCAGCCUCAAGAAAAAGCAGCAGCAGCUUAGAGCUGACCAAGCCUUGCUAACUGACAGAUGGACCGAAGUCCUUACAACCGAAGAGUACAAACUCGAUCGCACCUCCAAGAGCUACCCAAAACGCAGGCUGCUACCCCAAUUAGAGGAGGAAGCACCCAAACCUACAUCACUAGCGCAUGACGCGGCCGACCGGCCACCUCGUGGCUGCGACAGAGAGGCCUCUAGAAAAGUACAAAGCCACGGGAAAAUGCGCCAGACUUGCGAGACAUAUUGGAGGACAAGGCAAGGCAAAUAAAAUCGAUCUACGGAUCGUGUGGGCACCUCACGACACGUGAUGACAACCGUCACGCCGGAUACAGCAAUUCCGGCCGGGCUGAACAUAGUAGACAAAGAUCAUUUGAGUUGCGUCAUGAUAUAGCCCAAUACAGAGGCGCCGCACACCCACUAUACUUCACAGACGAAGUAAUGAAUCAUCAAAUCCCCGAGGGUUUCAAACCCGUAAACAUUGAAUCAUACGACGGCACAACAGAUCCUGUGGUUUGCAUCGAGGACUAUCUCCUUCACAUCCACAUGGCCCGCGGUGAUGAUCUACACGCCAUGAAAUACCUCCCACUCAAGCUUAAAGGACCAGCUCGGCAUUGGCUCAACAGCUUGCCAGCAGAAUCAAUUGGUUGUUGGGAAGACCUGGAAGCCGCAUUCCUUGAUAACUUCCAGGGCACAUAUGUGCGACCACCAGACGCUGACGACCUAAGCAAAAUAAUUCAGCAGCCAGAUGAAUCGGCCAGACAAUUCUGGACAUGGUUCUUAACCAAGAAAAAUCAAAUCGUUGACUGUCCGGAUGCAGAGGCCCUUGCAGCCUUCAAACAUAACAUCCGCGACGAGUGGCUUGCCAGGCACCUAGGACAGGAAAAGCCGAAAUCCAUGGCAGCCCUCACAUCACUCAUGACCCGCUUCUGCGCGGGAGAGGACAGCUGGCUAGCUCGCAGUUACAACCUGACCAAAAACCCUGGUAGUUCGGAUACCAAGGACAACAAUGACAGGUCGUGUCGCAACAAGCACAAGCGCCGCAUUAACGGUGAUAAUGCUGAAGAUACGACAGUCAAUGCCGGAUUCAGAGGCUCUAAACCCGGUCAGCGGAAAAAGCCAUUCAAAAGAAAUACUCAGGGCCCGUCCAAUUUGGACCGAAUACUCGAUCGCUCGUGCCAGAUACAUGGCACCCCCGAAAAACCAGCCAACCACACCUACAGGGAUUGUUGGGUGUUCAAGCAGGCAGGCAAGUUAAAUGCCGAAAACAACGACAAGGGGCUGCAUAGCGAUGACGAGGAGGAGCCCCGGCCGCCGAACAAUAGAGGACAGAAGGAUUUUCCCCCACAAGUGCGGACGGUGAACAUGAUAUACGCAACCCACAUACCCAAAAGGGAGUGGAAGCGUGCACUAAGGGACGUAUACGCGAUGGAGCCAGUCGCCCCAAAGUUCAACCCGUGGUCCUCCUGCCCGAUCACUUUUGAUCGUAGGGACCACCCCACUAGCAUCCGCCACGGCGGAUUCGCCGCAUUGGUUCUUGACCCAAUCAUUGACGGAUUUCACCUCACUAGAGUCCUGAUGGACGGCGACAGCAGCCUGAACCUGCUUUACCAGGAUACAGUGCACAAAAUGGGCAUAGACCCCUCAAGGAUUAAACCCACAAAAAAGACCUUUAAAGGUGUCAUACCAGGUGUAGAGGCCAACUGUAUAGGCUCAGUUACACUCAAAGUGGUCUUCGGAUCCCCGGAUAACUUCUGAAGCGAGGAAUUAAUCUUUGACAUAGUCCCGUUCCGCAGCGGCUAUCACGCACUGCUCGGACGAACCGCAUUUGCAAACUUCAAUGCGGUGCCGCACUAUGCAUACCUCAAGCUCAAGAUGCCAGGCCCUCGAGGAGUAAUCACGGUCAAUGGAAACACCGAACGCUCUCUCCGAACGGAGGAGCAUACGGCGGCCCUCGUGGCGGAAGUACAAAGCAGCCUCUUAAGGCAAUUCUCGAGUCCGACUACUAAAUGUCUGGACACCGUCAAGCGCGCCCGAAGUAACAUACAACAAGACCGCCUGGCAUGUUCCGAGCACACGUAGCAAUGCGUCCCCAACCCCAGCCCUCGCGAAAUCGCGAGACUAGUACCACGCGUACAUAACUACGCUCUGGAGAUACCAUGGGCAUAGUGGGAGGGGCACGACCACGGCAUGCCCAGAGUGCGGCUCAACCGCACCAGGGGCUCCCAAUUGUGUAAUUCUUUUUUUUUCUUUCUUAUUCUCAGGACUCCGUUUUCCAGAAGCCCUAUCCGGCAGUAGAAUCGCCGAACUCAUGAUGCAACAACUAGGGAAGCAGAAAAGCUACGUCGAGUGUCCAGGUGCACUACUAGGGAAAAGCCUAGCAGUAGCGCGGGUUUUGGGCCUAUUAGUAGCGCGGGGGCCGGCGCUACUAAUAAGACGCUACAGCUAACUUAUAGCAGUAGCACGGGUGCCACCCACGCUACUACUACGUCCUUUAAUAGUAGCGUGGGUAAAAACCCGCGCUACUACUACCAACGCGGGUUUUUUUUGAUUUUUUUCGAAAAAAUAUUUCAAUUUUUUCCCUAUUUUUCAAAUUUUUGAAUUAUUUUAACCUCAAAUCUCUAAUCACCCCUCAUCACGGCUCAAUUUAAUCUCUAAUCACCCCUCAUCAUUCCAAAUCAUCUAACUUCCCGGACGGUCACCCAUCCUCUCACUACUCCAGCCCGAGCACGCUUAACUUCCGGGUUCUAUUCUCCCUCGUUUCCAAGUCUGCACUUGUUGUUUUCCUAACAAUAGUAAGAUGUCAAUCCUAUUAACCUCAGGAAUUUAGCUUGAGCAUGAAGUCACACAUUUCACUAUUUGAGUUUGAAACUAUUGUUCCAAAAAAAUUAGUAACACUAAUAUUUCUUGAAUAAUUAGUUUGACCACAGUUUGGCCACAGUUUGACCACAGUUUGACCACAGUUUGGCCAUAGUUUGACCACAGUUUGGCCACAGUUUGGCCAGAUUUAGUAACACAAAUAUUCUAGAAUAAUUAGUUUGACCAUUGUUUGACCACACAGUUUGAAAUUUUUUCGAUUUUUUCCACUCUAGAUCUUAAAAGCCCCGUAACUUUUUUUCUGUUUGGUUUUUGAGGAUUUUGAAAAUGUUUAACGGGGUUUCCCCGGUUAAAUUCGGAUGUAACUUUUCGAGUAGAUGAUUUUUCAUAUAAAAAACUUUUUCAUCCGAGUUAGUAUGCAAAAGUUAUGCCCAUUUUUACAAAUUCUCGAGAGAUUUUGCAAAUAAAGUCGAAAUUCAUAUUUGCAAAUUUUCCCAACAACUAGAGCACAUAUCACAUGGGAAACUUAUUUUCUUUUAUUUUUUUGACAUUUUCAUCAUUUUCUUUUAUUUUUUUAAAACUAAAAAGGCGAUCCACAAGGGGGGGGGGGUAGAGUUUGAAAAUGGGACCUUUAGUAGCAGCGUGGUUUUUUACCCCCUCGCUGCUACUAUGGCACCACUUAGUAGUAGCGAGGGCUAAAAACCAACGCUACUGCUAGCAAACUUAGUAGUAGCGCGGUUUUAAAAACCCGCGCUACUACUAUGGCAUGUCCCAGGGGGCACGGUAGAGACCGCUUAGUAGUAGCGAGGGUUAAAAACCCGCGCUACUGCUAUAAACUUAGUAGUAGCGAGGUUUAAAAACCUGUGCUACUGGUAAGUAGCAGUAGCAAGGGUUUUUAACCCUCGCUACUAGUAACUUUCUGUGUAUAGGCUUUUCCCUAGUAGUGGUGGUCUCUAUUACGAGAAGUAUACCUGUUUUACAUACCAUCCCGCAGCCUACCCCUGGAGGGGGACAUGUUAAAUAGUCCCAUCCCUUGCUUAUCGCACUAUUUGUAUCGUUCUGCUUUCAUUGCAGUAUCUUUUGAAUAAACAAUAGAUAGCUUCGGCUUAUUAUUGCAUUCCUUUUUUUCCAUAAAUGUUCAUCUAUGACAUGUUGCACCCGUACAACUUGGUACGGUCAAUACACCAGGAGCUUAAGUACCCCAAAACAUGGUGUGAUAAGUCCGAACACUUUCACAAGUGCGGCACCCCGAACUUAUAGCAUUAUAUGCAUCGGCUCCGAAUCAUGUCUUGGGUCAAUAGUUGGGUUUGCCCGACUCCCAUGUUUUGGUACCUUACGUUCCGUUAUAUCGGCUAAGGUAGCGCUGGGAGAACCACUGUGAUUGUGCCCCAGUUGAGCUGGGUUGAGAACCUCAGUGGAGAAAGCUAAAACUGACCGUCAUGAUAGGGCGAGAGCCGGUCGCUGUUCGAGAGGUUUUUUGGGUCCCUAAAGACUCAUGCCGCUUAGAGCGAGGAGUCGGCAUUGUCCGGCCAAGCGUGGAUAGCGCCCCGAACUCGGUCUUCCGAAUACCAGGGGCGUCGCCGAAAUUUAAAAUUAUAGAAUUCUAUGGCUAAGUGAGAGUGUUCAAGCAUUAUAGUCCGGUUGCCUCGUUCGUCGUGUUGAACGCCUCCCUCGAAGGACCCAAGAAUGGGAACAAGAGCGCUCAAGUUUAUCCCGAACACCCCAGCACUCGUGGCAUGGGGGCUGAAGCCAACGACUCGCCAUCUCUCAAAUUUGAUAAACGGCCGCACAGAAGGUAAUAUUUUAAAUUAACAAGCAUUGCUUAGCACAUAUGAACAAAGUUUUCAGCGUACAGGAUAACAAAUGUUAGUCUACUCAAAAAUUACAUCUUUGGAGCAUUCACCCGCUAUAAGGCGGGCACCCUUCAGGACACCCUCAUAGUACAUCUUGGGCUUGCGUUACUCCUUCCCCGGCGGUGGCGCGUCCGUCACAAGCUGCUCGGCGUCCAUCUUGCCCCAGUGCACUUUAGCACGGGCAAGGGCCCGACGGGCACCUUUAAUGCAGAUGGAGCGCUUGAUGACUUCGAUCCAUGGACAGGCGUCCACCAGCUGCCGCACUAGACCGAAGUAGCUCCUAGGCAUGGCUUCUUUAGGCCACAACCGAACUAUGAGGCCCUUCAUGGCCUGUUCGGCCACCUUGUGGAGCUCGACCAGCUGCUUCAGCUGGUCGCUCAGGGGCACCGGAUGUCCGGCCUCAGCAUAUUGAGACCAGAACACCUUUUCCGUUGAGCUCCCCUCCUCGGCUCAGUAGUAUGUGGCAGCAUCGGACACACUACGGGGCAGAUCUGCGAACACUCCUGGAGAGCUCCGGAUUCGGGUAAGUAACAAAUAAUUCACUUUUACAUGCUUGCUUUGCAUAUAGAAUGCAUUACCGCCGCUAUCUUUUUUAUCGCCUCAAUCUCCUGGAGGGCCUUCUAGGCUUCGGCCUUAGCGGCUUUGGCACUCUCAAGAGCCAAGGCGAGCUCGGACUCUCGAGUCUUCGAGUCACGCUCCAAACUCUCAUGUUUUUCCACGAGAGCCUGGAGCUCUUGCCGCACCUCCGCCACCCGCGCCUCCUGCUUCUCUCGCUCGGUGCGCUCCGUGCCGCACUAUUUUCGGCCUUGGACACCGCUUCCUUCAGGGUCGCCACCUCGUUCGUGGCCCCUGCAAUACUCACGUUAUUCCUGUCAUUUUUUGCAACCAAAUCCUUUCUAUAAGGUAUUACUUUAAUAAGGUAUUACUUACCUUCCUUGUCCUCGAGCUGCUUCUUGGCAAGGCCGAGCUCGUUCUCGGACCGCUCAAGGCUCUCCUUCAAUGCAUUGACCUUCGCAGUCAGUGCGGUAGAGGUCAGCAGCGCAGCCUGCAUUCCCAUAUUGACAUAUUUAUGUUAGACUCCUGCGUAUAUCUUUUUAGAUCCUCAGCUCGGCUUUUCUUUCCGAACACCAAACUAAGCAUCAGGGGCUACUGUCUAUGCGGUAACAUUCUUACAUAUCUUAAAAACUUACCUCAAAGCCUGUUAGAAGGCUGGUACAGGCUUCAGUCAGCCCGCUCUUGGCGGACUGAACUUUCUGGAUCACCGCACUCAUGAUAAUGCGGUGCUCCUCGUCGAUGGAGGCACCAUUAAGCGCCUCCAGCAAGCUAUCUGGUGCCUUCGGUUGGACAGAGGCCACCGGCAUCGCAGUCUUGCCCUUCUUACGAAGGGGCCGCCUGCAGGACUCCGGAACCACUGAAGGUUCCGGUGCGGAGUUCGGCCCUGGGCCGGACUUAGAACCCCUUGGGGUUUGAUCCCCCUUAUGCCCAAAGUCCGGGAGGUUGCCUUGCGGCACCUCCGGGACCUCCUCCUCCUGGCUGGGCCCCUUUUGGGACCCCACCUCGGCGUCAUCAGCAGCGCAAGGAGAGGAGGCGGCCAGAAGUGAAGUGCUAUUCACGUCCGAUGGAGCCAGGGAGCCGCUCGUUGAAAUGUCGAGCCCGUCCUUGGGCGGGCUGCAGGGUUGUAUUCGGCGUUAGGAGAUUCUAUGCGACAAACGAAACGCCAUGAAUUAUUCUGGUAUCCAGACACUUACGAUGUCGCCAGGGGCUUAGCCCUCGGUGGACACUCCUCUUUGCCGUCGUCGGCAUUGGUGGAGUAGUCCGGAGGAAGGGUCCUUCCCUUCUUGGACCCUCCAGCCUCCCGAGUUGGGGAGGCCUUCCUUUUCUUCUCUCUCCCCGCUGGGGGAGAAGCCUUUUUUUCUCCUCCUCGUCUUCGCGGGAGGAGUCCGCCUCAGAGUCAUCGAACAAUGAGUCCGAUAACACCUGACGCCGGGAACUCUUUCGGGUUCCCGUGGCCUUCUUCUUGUCCUUCUUAUCCGGCACCAUGUGUGGUGCCGGAACCAGCAGCCCCGUCAAUCGGGUGUCCGCUGGGUCUUCUGGUGAGGGAGCCGGACAGUUAACCUGCCCGGACUUCUUCUGCCAGGCCUGUCAAAGGUAAGGGAGUUUAGAUCCCGCAUAGAGUCAAACUAUGAAAAACAAGUGUCCUGUAAAGGGUAAAAUAGCUUACCUCGCCGGCUUGCUGCUGCGAGCUGAAUCCGCGAUCUUCGGUAGCGGUGCGGGAGCCUUGACGCCCUUGAACAACACCUUCCAGGCAUCUUCGUACGUAGUGUCGAAGAGCCUGCUCAAGGUUUGGUGUUGUGCCGGAUCAAACUCCCACAAGUUGAAGGCCCAUUGUUGGCACGGGAGGAUCCGGUGGAUGAGCAUGACCUGGACUACGUUGACGAGCUUGAUCUUCUUGUUCACAAGGUUUUGGACGCA
rnacentral:lncRNA from 1 species